AAGGGGGUGGAGGUGCAAAGAGCCGGCUUCCCCUGAAGGGCCUGGCUGCAAGAAUCCCGCUUUGGCCACUAAGCGGUUUUAGCAGAACCACAGAUUCGUUCUGAGGGGGACAAUUUGGAUUCGGAUUCAGCAAGAAGCAGAAAAGGUGCAGACGCGGCCAAGAACAGGGCUCCCUCUGCAAAGAAUCCAAGCCCAAAGGAAACGCGGAAGGGAUGGAGGAGAGAGACGCGGGAAUGAGCAGGGAGUCUCUCCCGUCCUACGCUGGCGACGCAAGGGGGCAUCGGCAGUCGGUGGGAGGCAGAGUGUGGUCUCCCAGCAGAGGCACGUGUGCGGACCUCCAGGCCAGUGUCAGUGGAGGGGGGCUCUGAAGGGUCUGCAGACGCGCCCUCCGGAACCAUCAGGUUUCAGUGGCAUCUAUCCAGAUGAGGUUGGUGGCCCAAAUCCAAAUGUCCCAUUCCUCUGCCCCAUCAUCAGACGACGGGGCAGGGACCCACCGUGACCCGGGUCCGCAGUGAGAGUCGGGGACCGCCCGAGACCAGAGGCCGCCCGAGUCUCGGCUCACUCCCCUCCUUGCGCCCUUCGCCGGGGCGGGCAGCCGGGCGGUCGCCGAGAGACAUCUCGCGGCUACACCCGCAAGGGACUUCCCGCAGGGAAGUUCUCCCAGGCAGCCGGCGGGGCCGCAGGGGACUACGGAAAGGAGGAUGCAACGAGCCCGGGUCCCUCCGAGCUGAGUAGGGCCCGCAGUGGCCCAGGAGCGCUCGGUUCCGAAUGCAAAAAAAUGCCUCCCGCAAACUUUUCCCGUGGGCGCCGGAGGGCCUGGAGCUAGCGGAGAGCAGGGCGCGAGUCCAGACGGGGUCGGCCUGAAGGCAGCCGGCGUCUGGGCUUCGAGGGAAGGAACCGCAGCCGAGGCGGUGCCGGCCGCAGAAGGCUGAGAUUCUGUUUCUGAUAAACCUCCCGAUGCUGCUGAUGCUGCAGGUCUGAAGACCACACUUGGAGAAGCAAGGAUCUAGAAGUCGUUUGUUAUUCAUCGAAUAAAUAUAUUUCCCAUCAUGUUCCAGCUGCCCUGAUUAAACAAGCCACUAUUGUCUUUUCCA